UACGGGGGGGGCAAGCGUUGUUCGGAAUUACUGGGCGUAAAGGGCUCGUAGGCGGCCAACUAAGUCAGACGUGAAAUCCCUCGGCUUAACCGGGGAACUGCAUCUGAUACUGGAUGGCUUGAGUUCGGGAGAGGGAUGCGGAAUUCCAGGUGUAGCGGUGAAAUGCGUAGAUAUCUGGAGAACACCGGUGGCGAAGGCGGCAUCCUGGACCGGCACUGACGCUGAGGAGCGAAAGCCAGGGGAGCAAACGGG
rnacentral:rRNA from 1 species